GACGAACGCUGGCGGCGUGCCUAAUACAUGCAAGUUGAGCGAUGAAGAUUGGUGCUUGCACCAAUUUGAAGAGCAGCGAACGGGUGAGUAACGCGUGGGGAAUCUGCCUUUGAGCGGGGGACAACAUUUGGAAACGAAUGCUAAUACCGCAUAACAACUUUAAACAUAAGUUUUAAGUUUGAAAGAUGCAGUUGCAUCACUCAAAGAUGAUCCCGCGUUGUAUUAGCUAGUUGGUGAGGUAAAGGCUCACCAAGGCGAUGAUACAUAGCCGACCUGAGAGGGGGAUCGGCCACAAUGGGACUGAGAAAAGGCCCAAACUCCUAAGGGAGGCAGCAGUAGGGAAUCUUCGGCAAUAGACGAAAGUCUGAACGAGCAACGCCGCGGGAGUGAAGAAGGUUUUCGGAUCGUAAAACUCUGUUGGUAGAGAAGAAAGUUGGUGAGAGUGGAAAGCUCAUCAAGUGACGGUAACUACCCAGAAAGGGACGGCUAACUACGUG
rnacentral:rRNA from 1 species